GUCACUGCUAUUGGGAUUCGACUAAGCCAUGCGAGUCGAGAGGGUUCGGCCCUCGGCUGACGGCUCAGUAACACGUGGAUAAUCUGCUCUUAGGUGGAGGAUACCCUCGGGAAACUGAGAAUAAUACUCCAUAGGUCUGGGAUGCUGGAAUGCACCUAGGCUCAAAGUUCCGGCGCCUAAGGAUGAGUCUGCGGACUAUCAGGUUGUAGUCAGGGUAAUGACCUGACUAGCCUACGACGGAUAUGGGUUGUGAGAGCAAUAACCCAGAGAUGAUAUCUGAGACACGAUAUCAGGCCCUACGGGGCGCAGCAGGCGCGAAAACUUCACAAUGUGCGAAAGCACGAUGAGGGAAUCCCAAGUGCUUGCACGUAAGUGUAAGCUGUUUCUAUGUUUAAAACGCAUAGAGAGUAAGAGCUGGGUAAGACGGGUGCCAGCCGCCGCGGUAAUACCUGCAGCUCAAGUGGUGGCCGCUAUUAUUGGGCCUAAAACGUCCGUAGCCAGUUUAAUAAAUGCCUGGGUAAAUCGUGUAGCUUAACUAUACGAAUUCCGGGUAGACUGCUAAGCUUGAGACCGGGAGAAGCUAGAGGUACUCCUGGGGUAGAGGUGAAA
rnacentral:rRNA from 1 species